rnacentral:rRNA from 1 species
UACGAAGGUCCCAAGCGUUAUCCGGAUUUAUUGGGUUUAAAGGGUGCGUAGGUGGGUUGGUAAGUCAGUGGUGAAAUACUUUCGCUUAACGAAGGAACUGCCAUUGAUACUACCAGUCUUGAAUACAGUGGAGGUAGGCGGAAUGCGUCAUGUAGCGGUGAAAUGCUUAGAUAUGACGCAGAACACCAAUUGCGAAGGCAGCUUGCUACACUGUUAUUGACACUGAGGCACGAAAGCGUGGGGAUCAAACAGG